UUCAAGAGUCGAAGAACACUUCAAAAAUUGAUCAGAACUGUCACAUAUCAAAUCAACACAGCCAACAUCACAAGGGACAUAGGUCACACCGAAGCAGUGCUGAAGAAACUCGUGGAGUAACGGCUUAUCCCAGACCUGCAGCUUCCCCACUUUACGCGUAAGAGAAGAAAGAGAGGCAUGGCAUAAUCUUAUUUGGUUUAGCAUAAACUUCUUUCUGGUUAACUAUAUUUUGAAAGGUAUGUACAGUUUUUAUUGUGGCUGUAUGCUUUUGUACUCGAUAGGACAGGAUGGCGUUCUGAUUUAUCAUCAGCUUGCUGCUGGAAAUGUUGUAGGAUGCUUUUAGCAUGGAAAUCAAAAUUUUGUCAAAAAUAUUUAAUGCUUUAUGUUUUUGAGGAUGUCCAUCCAUGAAUGUCAAUAAUCCUGGUUAACUGAAUUGAAUGUGCUAAUAAUUUUUUAUCCAAUUUCUUGUUAGAAUAAUGUAAGGAGCAGUUACUGGUGGGGUAACAGCUAGUUUGGUAUGCUGGGAGAUAUCAUUAUUGCUAUUCUACCAUAGGAGAAAAGAUUCAAACAAAACCAACUCUUUGCAAUCACAAUUCUCAUAAUCCUAAUUUUAUAUUGGAAAAGAUCAAAUUAUAUUUGAAAUUUGAGACAACAAACAGGUCACAUACCAAAAUUUUCCCACUCAAAGUGGAUUAGUUGAACCAUCAAUUAAGCAUCCACUACCACUAUUCUAUAUCCAAACUGAAAAGCAAAGAAGAAAAAAGAAUGAAGAGAAACGCAAAUCGAAAAGCAAAUUUGACUUAUCGAAAUGGGAUUCGAGAAGGCAGAAUGAUAUUUUACCGAUUCCAAAUAAAUGAAUCUAGAUUCAUUCACUUUCCACUCUUUUAUGUGUCCCAUAAAAUGGAACCUUGCAAUAUAAACAUAUACAUAAGGUUAAUCAUUUCCUAAAAUCAAAGUAUAAUUAAAAGAAUUUAAAAAUGCAAGUGAUGAAAUUUGGCUAAGACAAGUGUUGGACACUUUCUAGUUUCUCCUUAAGAUGAAUUUACCUUGCAUUGGUGCUAACGGUUUUCCGACAAUCAUCUCUCAAGAUACAACGACCAUACCAAGCCAUAAGAGCACUCCAAAUGAUUUCGAUCAGCGAACUCGAAUGAAAUUUCCUUUCUUCCAUAAACAUGACUUGCAUGCAAAAUAUGAUUACUUUUACAAAGUAUUUUAUGCAACAUGACAUAAAAUGAAUAAUAUGAAAUUAUAAAUGAACGUUCAAGGGAUCCUAUAUAUAGAAGUUAAAAGGUUGUGGGUGAAGGGACAUACUUCAAAUUCAGCAUUUUUCAUGAAAAGUUGCAACCCAAUUGUCGCUAGAGCGAUGAUUCUUACCUGUUGAAUUUUGAUUUCCUUCAAAUAUUGGACCAAAUUUCUCAUUCAUACGAAUUGGUCUUCCAACACAAAGUAUAUUCAAAAUUCACGAAACCAGGAAAUAAAGAAUUCUUUACAUAAAAAAUAUUAAGAGUCCUUCCAUCCAGCCGUCUUAGCUCAGCCGGUAGAGCGCGUGGCUUUUAACCACGUGGUCGUGGGUUCGAUUCCCACAGACGGCGUUUUGUGAUGUACUGUCCGAUGGUCUCACAAAUUUACAAUUUUUUUUAAUAUUCUUUAAAUUUCAUAAUGAAAAAAAUGUUAUGUUACUUCAGAUAAUAUAAAUUUCCAUUCUUUUGCUUGGAAAAUUUAAUCCUGGUCCAAUCUUUUGAUCAUAACAUCGAUCAAACUUGGUUAUUAAACUCCUAUUCGGUGUUCCUAUUUAGUAGAUUUUCAGCAAAUUUGAUCCUGAAUUGUGGGGCAAAUAAAUAAAUGAAGCCUACAGACAAAACCAUUUGUGUAGCUAGUCAGGAUAGUUAUGCUAUUCACCUACUCAAGGCCCUAAUGGGUCACUUGAUCCACCAGAUUCAAGUUGGAUUUUUUUUUUUUUUUUUUUACUAAAAAACCAAAAAUUAUAAUUGGGUGAUAAUGAUAGUUGGGCGCUUUUUUUUUUUUUUUCAAAAAAAAGUACCAAUAAUGACCGAACAAUUAAGAGAGUGAGAUGAAAUUAUUUUAUCAUUUGUGAUAUUUAAUUUGAAAAUUCUUUAAAAAUUUAUUCAUCAUAUAUGUGAGACUAUUUGAAAUACUUUGAGAAUUGUUAUUUAUUAUAUAGAUGAUUUUUGUGAAUUUGUGAUAGUGAUCAUAUGUAUGUAUUUUUGUAGAAUACAUAAUUUUUUGUAACUUUUUAAUAAAUUUGAUUGUGCCUCCACUAGUUCCAAAUGUCUGCAUUCGUCACUGGACUAUUCAUCUAAUUAUUAUCAUGUAUACCUUUAACAAGUUUGUCAAAAGAUUGAAUUAUUGCUCCCAAUAAAUACACAAGACCACCAUUUUUUCCAUCAAAUUUCUAUUGAGGACAAAAUAGACUUUACAUCAAAAUGCCACAAGUUAAUUUGAAGAUUUGUUCUUUGGUUUCAGCCGGUGCCUACUACAAGGCAUUAUUAUUAUUAUUAUUAUUUUAUUAUUAUUAUUAUUUUUUUUUUUUUAAAACCAAGUUUGGACCAGACAGGCUAAAUUUUAGGAGUCAAGUAGGAUGUUAUUGAUUUUACUGGAAAACAUGGAGUCAAUGUUGGGAAUCUACUUAAACGUGCACAGCGAAAAUAAAAUAAUUUUCGAUUUUCAUCAGGAUUCAUCUUUAUGUCUAGAUAAAAAUUGUGAUUAAAGGCAUACAUUUUCUAAAUCUGCAAACUCUUUUGCUUUUUCUUUGUUCCAAUGGUCUUGAUUUGUCACCUACAGCUGUCCAAUUGUCCAACCUACAACGAUAAUCCAUAUCGAUCAUAUUUUUCACUCUACUAUUAAGUCAAUAUAAAUCGAAAACUCGUUUUCGACUUAUGAGUACACUUUAACCAAGGAUUUCGUUAUCAACUUAAAUGAAUGAAAUACAGAUCAUAAUAUCUUACUAUCUAAGAGUGACGAAUCCUUUAUUGGUCAUUCACAACUUUCAUACGAUUUUUGACAUAUCCGAAUGAUACCGUAUUAGCGGCCCUUGACAGAGCAACAUCCAAUACCGUCAAAGCAUUACUGUCUUUAUAUAAGGCACUAUGACGACCUUAAGUCAAAGGAUCAAUCCCAUUACGAAACGUUAGAGAUUAACCACUGACACUCAGAUAGUUAUUCAUGUGGAAUCUUUAAGCGGGUCUCCAAUGUUUAGUUCUAUAACAAAACAUCCACGUGUUCAUUCAAGUGUAACCAUACUUUAGCUUGUGAGAUCAGUUACUUACUUCACAAGUAAUAAAUGUCACACAUGAUGAUCUAUCCAUAAUAAUAAUAUCCGUAUCUCGUUAUUACUUACAACCACGGACGUUUUAAGAUUCAAUCAUAUGUAAUUUGUAUCUCACAAUCACAACUUCCUGUGAUUAACAAAUUACGAAAAUUUGAAUUUACAGACUCUAUUAUUAAAUUUAAUUGUCUAUUAAUUAAAUAAUAGAUCUAUUAUUAAAUUGCAUUAAUCAUAUAUUAAAAGUAUUUAUGUCCAAAGUUGAUUGAACAUAGGACAUAACACUUACAUUCAAAAACUUUUAUUGAUUGGUUAAGAAAUAGGCUUUUCCGUAUCACAUGCCAAUUCUUGGUGAAGAAAAAUUUAGGGUAAAACUCCAAAAAUCUUUGGGAAUACAAAAUUCCAUAUGCCAAAGCAAGUCAAACAAACAUAUAUAAAGAUCAAAUAGUGUAUAGCAUAAGAUUAAAUAAGGUAACGGCUCAUGCAUUUUCUUGAAUAAAGAAAUGUUCAUUUAUUGAAGAACAAUGCCAAUAGUACCUUCAAUGAAAAAGAGAGAACCAUCAACUAUAUUUUGAGAUUUUUUGGCCAAUGGAUACAUAGAAGGAUGAUACUACAUGUACAUAAUGAUAUUCAUAACGAUAUUCACCUCCUCACAUGGAAAGGGACCCACUUUGUAUAAAUUAUAUGGUAUUCACUUUCCUUACAUGGAGGUGAUCUACUUUGAAUAAAAUAUAAUUUAUAAAAAGUGGAUCUCCUUUCAUGUGAGGAGGUGAAUACUAUUAUGAAUAUCGCAUUAUAUGCAAGUAGCAUAUUCUUACAUAGAAUAUGAAGAUUUGGGACUAGUCUAUUAAUUAUGAUACAGGUUAUUCUGGGGGUACGUCACCCAUUACAUGAUGGUGUCCAUUUGAGCCCCCUAUUGGAGGGGCAUCGAUGUUCAUUUUGGAUGCUCUUAUGUUCCUCCUAAUGUAUUCCAAGAAUUAUCCUUAUGAUACACAUGCAAUUCACUUUUCUUUGAGUUUUUUCUAAUGCUAUUUUAACGAAGUCAAGCUGCCUUAAAUUACACAUGGAUUUGAGUAGGACGUUCUACAGUAUAAAAUUUAUACGAAUAAUAGAUAAAUGCAUAUGCUUGUUUUAAUUGUAAAAACUCAAAAUAUCAAUGGGCCUUAUUUAUUGAAAUUUAAAAUUUAGUUGAAUUUUUGAUGCUGAAAUACUAGGGAUCUUAUGGAUGAAAACAUGAUCUUUGUCAAUCCCAUUGAAUUUUAUGCAGAGGAACCUUAAUUUGUGUACUCCCAACUCAUGUCCGCAUUAGAUACAAGGAUUUUGAGACUACGUUUUGACGAUCAAUGUUAACGACAGCAAAGCUCAAGCCUAGAUCUCUUGUUUGGAACUUCUUGUUCCAUUGAUUAUCCUCCUAAUACAUUUUGGACACGUAACAACAUUAUCUAAAAAAAAAAGACAUUUAAGGGAUGGUAAAAAAUUGAUGAUUUCCAGACAACCAUCUCAAUUUGACACAAGUAAAUUUGUUAGAAUAGUCAAUAAUGAAAUAGCUAGUCGAGUAAUUUCAUGCAUUUUGUCCAUACAGACUUGGGCCAAGUCAUUCAAUUAGUGAAUUUUCACGGGCAACACUAUGCUAGAGGAUAAUGCUCGCUGUGAACACAAGAAUGUAACAGUGAUCUCACUAUGAUAUAGACAGAUGUACUUCAAUGGUGCUUAUAAAUUGCUUAUAAGAAUGCUAAACAGAACAACUUUUACAUAGUAUCAUAAUAAAUAGAGCCUGCGGGCUACAUUUACUUCCUUUCCUUUUCUUGCAGCCGCUUCAGCCUCCACACUUCACGAACACAAUAUAAAAACUUGCAACACAACCAGCAAAAGUAGAAAAACCACACACCUCACUUUUACUUAUCCUAUUUUAAUAUUCUAUCUUCAACUUUUCCCAAGAAAAAGUGGAAAUUUUGAAGGUUGAAAAGUAGUGAAAACCUAGUAAUAGUAAGUCUUAAAUAUUGGGACUUAUUUAUGUUUUCUUAAACCUUGAAGUUCUUGCCCAUAAAGGUCUGUCCAAACUGCCAAUUAUCUGGUGCCACGUUCAUGGAGGUGCAUGACCGAUGGUCACCGGACGUAACUCUAAAGGACAAAGCCUGGCCUGUAGAAGUCCCGUCAAUUGGACCCUUAAUCAAUAUGAACCUGUUUGUGUUUCUUUAGUUGUUUAUAUGAAUUUUUGUUCAUUUAUCUUGUUAAUUAGGUCAUGUAUCCCCUCCACUAUAUGUUUCUGUUCUGUGCUAUAAUUGCUAAGUUUUGAAUAUAGAUGGAUAUAUGAGCAGCAAAUGAAAUUACAGUUCAUGUCCUCUGCAUUUGCUGAGUUAAGGGUAUUUUUUCUUAAUUUCCUACUGAACCUGCAAGAAAGAACAAUAUAUGACACUGUCAGUUCUUGUCUCCUGGUUCACUACAUGAUUUGUGCUUGAAGUAUUGUUAUUUUUAAGUAAUUGGCAAUGAACGGUGACGAUUUUGAAUUUUUGGAGUAUAAUUCUAAUGUAAUUAAUUUUUUUGACCAAACUGGAUAAUAUGUGUAGGUGCUAUUUCAUGUAAAAAUGUGAGCGGAAAUGGGACAGAAUUAAGUAAAUCAGGCAGCAAGGCCUCGUCCAUACCCUCGACUCCUUGGAGUGAGGGUGAGAUCUUGCAGUCCUCCAACUUGAAAAGCUUCACUUUCAGUGAUCUUAAAGCAGCCACAAGAAACUUUCGCCCCGACAGUGUAUUAGGGGAAGGGGGUUUUGGUUCUGUUUACAAAGGAUGGGUUGACGAACACUCACUUGCAGCAUCAAAGCCUGGGGCUGGGAUCGUUAUAGCUGUUAAGAGGCUAAACCAAGAAGGGUGGCAGGGUCACAAGGAAUGGUUGGUAUGUCCGAUAUUCACCUUAAACUUCUCAACUUUAUCAAGAAGUAAGUCAAUUUUGUAAUUAAAAAUGCUAUUCUCAGUUGAAAACAUGUCAUGGCAUGGUCAAGACUCCCAUGUUCUUGGAAAUUUUUGAACCAUAUUUGUCGCUUAAUUUUUCAAAGCAUAUCUGUCGAAUAAUUUUGAUUGAUAUGCAUUUGCUUGAAGUAGGAUUUGACAAUUAAUGUCUGCAGUUAUAAUAUAGUGCAAACAUAGUUGUACACUUUGAUAAUUUCCUUUUCAUUGAUAAGCUUAAUUUUUAAUUUUCAGGCAGAAAUUAACUAUCUUGGGCAGCUUCGCCAUUCUAAUCUUGUGAAAUUAAUUGGUUACUGUUUAGAGGAUGACCACAGAGUUUUGGUUUAUGAGUUCAUGCCCAAGGGUAGCAUGGAGAAUCAUCUAUUCAGGAGUGAGUUCAGUGUACCCCCUUAUGCGUACCAUAAAUAACUUAGUGAAUAUUGCUGACGAAUUCUAGUUGACACGAUGGUUUUAUAUUGAACUAGGAGGUUCUUACUUCCAGCCACUUUCCUGGAGCCUAAGAAUGAGAAUUGCUCUAGGUGCUGCAAGAGGACUUGCCUUUCUUCACAGUGCUGAGGCAAAAGUAAUAUAUCGAGACUUCAAAACUUCCAAUAUCUUGCUUGAUUCGGUAAGUAUAAUCUUUCUUGCUCUAGUUUUAACUAUUUCAUUUUCAGCAUGGUUUAUAUUCAUUUUAACGACUUCUGAAUGGGUAAAAUAUAAUUUUGCUUCGUGUGAUUUUGAUUGGCAGAACUACAAUGCAAAACUUUCUGAUUUUGGGUUAGCGAGGGAUGGGCCAACUGGUGAUAAGAGUCACGUCUCAACUCGAGUUUUGGGAACUUAUGGAUACGCUGCUCCUGAGUAUCUAUCCACAGGUACUCAUGUCAUGCAGUUUCCGCCCUAGAACUUUGUUUGACUAAUAAGAGUUCAUCAAUUUACUGGUUUUUCCUUUAAUUUGCAUCAGAUAGUGCACGCUAUCCUAAUAGAUAUUUUUCAUUUUGUGCUUUUGGGGAAGGCCAGGCCAUUUAACUGUCAGGAGUGAUGUAUACAGCUUUGGAGUGGUACUUUUAGAAAUUCUGUCUGGUAAGAAAGCAAUAGACAAGAAUCGUCCAUCGGGGGAGCACAAUCUGGUUGAAUGGGCAAAACCUUAUCUUGUUAACAAACGUAGAAUGUUGCGCAUUCUUGAUUCCCGUCUUGAAGGCCAGUACUCUACGGAUCAAGCCUUAAAGGCAGCUACCGUUGCGCUUCAAUGCUUAUGCACGGAACCCAAGUUGAGGCCAAAAAUGAUCGAGGUCGUAACUGCUUUAGAACAGGUUCAAGAGUCGAAGAACACUUCAAAAAUUGAUCAGAACUGUCACAUAUCAAAUCAACACAGCCAACAUCACAAGGGACAUAGGUCACACCGAAGCAGUGCUGAAGAAACUCGUGGAGUAACGGCUUAUCCCAGACCUGCAGCUUCCCCACUUUACGCGUAAGAGAAGAAAGAGAGGCAUGGCAUAAUCUUAUUUGGUUUAGCAUAAACUUCUUUCUGGUUAACUAUAUUUUGAAAGGUAUGUACAGUUUUUAUUGUGGCUAUAUGCUUUUGUACUCGAUAGGAC
rnacentral:lncRNA from 1 species